rnacentral:tRNA from 1 species
GCCCUCGUAGCUCAAUGGACAGAGCAGCGCUCUUCUAAGGCGUUGAUAGGGGUUCGAUUCCCUUCGAGGGCG